UACGUAGGGGGCAAGCGUUGUCCGGAUUUAUUGGGCGUAAAGAGCGUGUAGGCGGCUUUACAGGUCCGUUGUGAAAACUCGAGGCUCAACCUCGAGACGCCGGUGGAAACCGUAAAGCUAGAGUCCGGAAGAGGAGAGUGGAAUUCCUGGUGUAGCGGUGAAAUGCGCAGAUAUCAGGAGGAACACCAGUGGCGAAGGCGGCUCACUGGCCCGGUACUGACGCUGACGGUGCGAAAGCGUGGGGAGCAAACAGG
rnacentral:rRNA from 1 species